rnacentral:rRNA from 1 species
GACGAACGCUGGCGGCGCGCUUAAUACAUGCAAGUCGAACGGGAAGGCUCUGCUCUUGUGGGGUGCUCGAGUGGCGAACACGUGGGUAUGACGAGAGGAUUCUGCCCCUUCCUUUGGGGGAACACCAGGAAAUACGGGUUUAGACCGCAUAUGAGCUCUUGAUGCAUGGGGGGGGGUGGUGAGUUGCGGCGGUUGGGUAUGUACUCGCGGUUUAUCAGUUUGUUGGUGGGGUUGUGGCUUACCAAGGCUCUGACGGGUAGCCGGCCUGAGAGGGUGACCGGCCACAGUGGGACUGAGAUACGGCCCAGACUCCUACGGGCGGCAGCAGUGGCGAAUGUUGCACAAUAGGCAGAAGCCUGAAGCAACAACGCCGCGUGCGGGAUGACGGCCUUCGGGUUGUAAACCGCUUUCGCCUGUGACGAAGCGUGAGUGACGGUAAUGGGUAAGGAAGCAACGGCUAACUACGUG